rnacentral:rRNA from 1 species
CAGUCGCCACGGGAAUACAGAGGGUGCGAGCGUUAAUCGGAUUUACUGGGCGUAAAGCGUGCGUAGGUGGUUUGUUAAGUUGGAUGUGAAAGCCCCGGGCUCAACCUGGGAACUGCAUCCAAAACUGGCAAGCUAGAGUACGGUAGAGGGUGGUGGAAUUUCCUGUGUAGCGGUGAAAUGCGUAGAUAUAGGAAGGAACACCAGUGGCGAAGGCGACCACCUGGACUGAUACUGACACUGAGGUGCGAAAGCGUGGGGAGCAAACAGGAUUAGAUACCCCAGUAGUCCCUGUCUCUUAUAA